rnacentral:rRNA from 1 species
CCUACGGGGGGCAGCAGUGGGGAAUAUUGCGCAAUGAGCGAAAGCCUGACGCAGCGACGCCGCGUGAGGGAUGAAGGUCUUCGGAUCGUAAACCUCUGUCAGCAGGGAAGAACGGUCACUGUGCUAAUCAGCAGUGAAUUGACGGUACCUGCACAGGAAGCACCGGCUAACUCCGUGCCAGCAGCCGCGGUAAUACGGAGGGUGCGAGCGUUAAUCGGAAUUACUGGGCGUAAAGCGCUCGUAGGCGGUAUGUCAAGUCAAGGGUGAAAUCCCCGCGCUCAACGUGGGAACUGCCUUUGAAACUGGCAAACUGGAGUGUGUGAGAGGAUAGUGGAAUUCCAGGUGUAGGAGUGAAAUGCGUAGAUAUAUGGAGGAACAUCAGAGGCGAAGGCGACUAUCUGGCACAUAACUGACGCUGAGGAGCGAAAGCGUGGGUAGCAAACAGGAUUAGAUACCCUAGUAGUC